CAGCGUGUAGCUAAGUAGGACAGCAUCUCCCUUACACUGAGAAGACCCCCGUGCAAAUCGGGACACACUGA
rnacentral:tRNA from 2 species